rnacentral:rRNA from 1 species
ACCCCACUGCUAUCGGGAUAGGACUAAGACAUGCUAGUUGAGCGCUUCCAGCCAACACGGGAGCGCAGCGCACAGCUCAGUAACACGUGGCUAAUCUGCCCUUGGGACCGGAACACCCCCGGGAAACUGGGGCUAAUUCUCGAUAGGUGAAGAACUCUGGAAUGAGUCUUUGCUGAAAAGACGCUUACGUUAUGCUCGUAGGCGUCGCCCAAGGAUGAGGCCGCGACCGAUCAGGUUGUUGGUGAGGUAAUGGCUCACCAAGCCUUUUACCGGUGCGGGCCGUGAGAGCGGGAGCCCGGAGAUGGGCACUGAGACAAGGGCCCAGGCCCUACGGGGCGCAGCAGUCGCGAAAACUUUGCAAUACACGAAAGUGUGACAGGGCUAUCCCGAGUGCCAUCCGCUGAGGAAGGCUUUUACCCAGUCUAGAACGCUGGGGGAAUAAGGAGAGGGCAAGUCUGGUGUCAGCCGCCGCGGUAAUACCAGCUCUCCGAGUGGUGUGGAUGUUUAUUGGGCCUAAAGCAUCCGUAGCUGGCUAAGUUAGUCCCUUGUUAAAUCCACCGAAUUAAUCAUUGGAUUGCGGGGGAUACUGCUUGGCUAGGGGACGAGAGAGGCAGACGGUAUUUCCGGGGUAGGGGUGAAAUCCUAUAAUCCCGGGAAGACCACCAGUGGCGAAGGCUGUCUGCUAGAACGCGCCCGACGGUGAGGGAUGAAAGCUGGGGGAGCGAACCGGAUUAGAUACCCGGGUAGUCCCAGCUGUAAACGAUGCAGGCUAGGUGUUUGGACGGCCACGUGCCGUUCUAGUGCCGCAGGGAAGCUGUUAAGCCUGCCGCCUGGGGAGUACGAUCGCAAGAUUGAAACUUAAAGGAAU